CCCUUAGAUGUUCUGGGCUGCACGCGCGCCACACUGAUGCGCUCAACGAGUUUUAACCUUGCCUGGAAAGGUUGGGUAAUCUUUUUAAAACGCAUCGUGAUGGGGAUAGAUUAUUGCAAUUAUUAAUCUUCAACGAGGAAUUCCUAGUAAGCGCGAGUCAUCAGCUCGUGCUGAUUACGUCCCUGCCCUUUGUACACACCGCCCGUCGCUCCUACCGAUUGAGUGGUCCGGUGAGGCUUUGGGAUCUGAGCGGAAAGAGCGUUUCGCUGUUUCUGCUCGGAAAACUCAGUCGAACCUUAUCAUUUAGAGGAAGGAGAAGUCGUAACA
rnacentral:rRNA from 1 species